rnacentral:rRNA from 1 species
UACGAAGGGGGCGAGCGUUGUUCGGAUUCAUUGGGCGUAAAGGGUGCGUAGGCGGCGGGGCAAGUCAGGUGUGAGAUCCCGGGGCUCAACCCUGGAACUGCACUUGAUACUGCUUUGCUAGAGUACUGGAGAGGAGAUUGGAAUUUACGGUGUAGCAGUGAAAUGCGUAGAUAUCGUAAGGAAGACCAGUGGCGAAGGCGAAUCUCUGGACAGUUACUGACGCUGAGGCACGAAGGCCAGGGGAGCAAACGGG